GGAGACUUUGAGCUCGCCAGUGGCGGCUGGUGCGCUGACUACAACGAGGCCUCAUCCUUCCUGGAUAUUCUGACCUCGAGCUCGGACAUGAACGACUCGCAGUACCAGAGCGAGGAGUUCGACGCUCUUAUGGAGCAGUCGAGGACCGCGGAGGAUUCCCUGCCGCUCUACCAAGAAGCCGAGCAGAUCCUGGCUCGCGACGUGCCUAUCCUGCCCAUCUACUUCUUUACGGGGAAUUACAUGCUGAACGAUGCGGUCAAGGGCUGGACCGUCGAGAAUGCUCAGCAGCUCUGGUACGCCAAGGACCU
rnacentral:misc_RNA from 1 species